CACACCACUGCACUCCAACCUGGACGACAGGCAGAGACUCUGUCUCAAAAAAAACAAAAAAACAAAAAAACAUGUUAUUGAACCAGACAGGACAGUAGAUCUGUCAAGAAAUCCCUUCGGGUAGUCUGUUAUUUCUAUAAUAAAUGUCCCCUGUUGUUGAACUUUAGGUGCCUUGAGUGGUUUAUGUUUCUAGUUGGUGCCUUUUUUGGUUGUUAAAUUUAUCUGUUUCUUAUCCCCUUGCUUUUCAGGUUUUUUUUUGCUGUGAGUGAAAAACCAGUUAUGCAGGAUUAUCUCUAACCUGAGUAUUUGUGAGUGAGGAUUAAAUUCGUUAUGCAGUCUGACAUUUUGAUUGCUUAGUUAUAUUUUUUGCUUAGGCAAGUAAGAUGUUAUUGCUUACAAAUAGUAACUUUUUAUAAUAGAAAAAUCAUUUAGCGUACAUUAUUAUAUCUUGGUAGCUCCAGGAACUGGGCGGACUAGUAUUAUCUGGAUUAUACAUGUGAUUCUCCCACUCCAAGAAGCUGGGUGGCUUUUCAAAGACAUAAAGUGAAUAUAUCCUGGAGCUUGAAUUCAGAUCACAUCUAGCCAUCCUUGACUCAUUUUCUUUUACAUUUUAUAGCAGCUUCAUAUACUUGAAGACCCCAGUAGUUAUUCUGUGUUAUGUGACAGGUACUGUUUUAAGUAUUGUGUAUUUAUUAUGGCAUUGAAGCAAUACAACAACUCUUUGAUAUAGGAACCAUCAUUAUCCCUAUUUUAUCAAUGGGGAGACGUGGGUACAAAUAGUUUAUGUGAUUUGAUUAAUGUACAGAUGGAGGAAAUAGAAGUUAAGGUGUGUACAGAAUAGUUAAUCUAGUGCUUCUUGUUUGAGCAUUGGGAAAUAUGUUUUUCAGAACUCAGGUGUCUUACAGACUUCUAACUUUAAAAUGUAUGAGAAAACAUACAUUAGAAUCUUUACGUUUGAUAAUCAGUCAUAUUGUAGAAGAUUUGUAGCUAUAAGAAGUCAAUUUAGUAAAUAUUCUGAAGUUUGGAAAAAUGCAACCUUAAACUGCUGAGUUCACAUAUUAAGAUACUGGGGAUCAAUAGUAAAGAAAAUCAGCAUAUUAAGGAGCAUUGGGAAGAGUACUGGUACGUGUCCCUAAGUAAGUUAGUUUACCUGCAUUGGGUGGUAAUUCUAAGUCCAUCUGACUUUUCCUUUUUUUUUUUUCCUUUGAGACAGAGUCUUGCUCUGUCGACCGGGCUGGGGUGCAGUGGCCCGAUCUUGGCUCACUGUGAUCUCCACCUCCUAGGUUCAAGCGAUUCUCGUGCCCCUCAGCCUCCCGAGUAGCUGUGUGCCACCAUGCCCUGCUAAUUUUUGUAUUUUUAGUAGAGACGGGGUGUUGCCAUGUUGGCCAGACUGGUCUUGAACUCCCGGCCUCAAGCAAUCCACCCGCCCCAGCCUCCCAAAGUGCUGAGAUUAUAGGGAUGAGACACCACACUGGGCCAGACUUUUCCGUUUUUAUGUUCCUCCCAAGAUUUGGAUAAACCUGCAAACAUCCUGGGCCAUUGGUCCUUUCUGUUAAGGUCAGACACCUUAUUGAAAUUCAUUGCCAUUUGCUUUUUGACAGUGCUUACUGUGUUCGUGACAUAUAUGCUAGUGAUGACAAUCUAUCAUUUGUUUCUUGUAGCUGUCUUCUUGGGUAUUAUUUAAGGCAGCAUAUGCAGUACUUCUCAUGGAGGAGAUGACUUAAUAAAUCAGUUAUGAUCUCUAGGCCUUAGUUUGAUAUGAAGAUAGUGAAUGGCCUUCCUACUGUAAUAAAGAGAACCUGAAUGGGUAAUUUCUUACAUUGUUGAUAUGAUUUUUAGUAGUAGAUAUUGAUUUUAAUAGUUGGUAAUAGUUACUGUUGGAUUCCAAACUGGAUGGUUUCCCAAGUAAAUGGAAUAUGAUCAAAAUAUUUUAACUUUAGUUGUUACAGCAAAUCUGGCCUGGAUUUAUAUGGUUAAUGCCUCACAUAUCUAUUUAACAUUAAAAGGUGUGGGUGUACAAUAAGCAUUUUUUAUCUUUUGCCUUCUUGUCACCUUUUGCUUCAACUGGUUUCUGUAUAUGAUAAAUUUGGAUCUUUUGUUCAAUAUCUUGGACUUCAUUGGUUUGGCUGAGCAACUCCAGGUAUUUUAAGUCUUGGCAGCAAUGCUCUGGACUUGCAGCUCAGUCCUAGCCCAUACCUUGGAGAAAAAAGCCUCUACAAAGCAUGAAGUUUGAAAAGAAUCUUUGCAAGUUCUUAUUUUUGUGUUUAGAUUUUCUUUUACUUCAUCAAGUCUACCAUAGGUCGUUUCUUAGAUAAAAGCUCCUAAUUUUAGCACUUACAGAAAACUUAGUUGCAUUUGCUUUCUUUUCAAAAUUAGUUUAUAAUGUUUUUCGUAAAAUAUUUAAUUUACGGUACUUGGAUGUUAUUUUAUUUGGCAAGGUUUUAGAUAAUAUCUUAAAGAGAAUAUGGCUUCGUUUUUUGUAAACUACUACUGGUAGGUAGAUCAUUCUUUAAAAUGGCUAUAUGCAGUAAAGAUUAGGUUUAAUAGCAAAGUGUAGUGUAAUUUACUUAGCUGUUUGAUGACAAACUGUACUUGUUUCAUCAAAACUGAAAGGGCUGAAGUGGAUGCUUAAAUAUGCUGGAGUAAUAUGCCAUAUUCUUGUUAAUGUUGGUACCAUGCUCAAGCAUAUAAGAGAAAAAUUGGAUUCAGGAAAAACAGUGAUAACUCAGUAUUAACUUAGUCAAAAUAUAUAUAUUUUUAAUCCUUUGAGUCUUUGACCCUUUAAACAUCAGCUGCAUUUUGGCAUAAAAUUUUAAGAUUUUCUUUGCCUCCAAAAUAGUACCUAAAGUGGUACUUAAGUGCCACAGAUGUUUAUUGUAUCUUGAGGCUUACUGUUUGUUUUUUUUUUUUUUAAUACUUUCUAUGUUUCCACCUCUCCCUGUCGCCAUCUGAUUUUAUUUCCUGUCCAUUAGUGAUAACCACUGUCUACCCAAGUCAUGAAGGCUUCUGGUAUCGUCUUUGACUAUUUCUUGAGGUUUUUCCUAAGAUCACUUACUUAGUUCUUUGAAUUUAUAACUACAUUGUCUGUACUGUUCAGUUCUUGCACUCUUUCUCAACUAUCACCAAAGCCUGUAUAACUGGUCUUACAGACUUUAUUUUGUACUUGGACAGUGCUGCUGACUAAGUUAUCUUCUCAAUGGACAGCUGUAGUCCUAAAACUCAACCCUUUGGAAAAUCACUAUUACACACAAAAUAAAAUCAAACUUUAUUUCCCAACUUAUUUAUAUAUGUGUGUGUGUGUGUGUGUGUGUGUGUGUGUGUGUGUGUUUAUAUAUAUAUAUAUAUAUAUAUAUAUAUGUAUGUAUUUUUGAGACAGGGUAUCGCUCUGUCGCCCAGGCUGGAGUGCAGUGGUGCGAUCUCGGCUCGCUGCAGCCUCCACCUCUGGGGCUCAAGUGAUCCUCCCACCUUAGCCUCCCUAGUAGCUGGGACCAUAAUGGGUGCAUGUUACCACACCUAGCUAAUUUUUGUUUUUGUUUUGUAUUUUUAGUAGAGAUGGGGUUUCGCCAUGUUGACCAGGCUAGUCUUGAACUCCUGGCCUCAAGUGAUCCGCCUGCCUCAGCCUCCCAAAGUACUGGGAUUAUAGGCAUGAGCCACUGUGCCUGGCCUAUUAUUUUUUGAGACAGGAUCUUGCUCUGUUGCCCAGGCUGGAGUGUAGUGGUGCAGUCAUGGCUCACCACAGCUUCCCACUCCUGGGCUUGAGUGAUCCUCCUCCUCAGCCUUCUAGUAGCUGGGACUAUAGGUGUGUGCAACCUUGCCUGGCUAAUUUUUUUAUUUUUCUUUUGUAGAGAUGGGGCCUCUAUAUUGACCAGGCUGGUUUUGAACUCCUGGCCUUAAGGUGAUCCCCCUGCCUUGGCCUCCCAAAGCGCUAGUAUUACAGGUGUGAGCCACCACCACCUGGCCUUGCCUGCCAGCUUUUGUUUUCAUCCUCCAAACGAGGGCUUGUAGAUGGUGUUUUCAAGUGUGGUUUACUGGUAGCCUUUAAAACAAAAUAAAAAGUAUUUCCUUUUGGAGAGAAGAAAACUCCCAUUUUACAUUUUACACAGAAAUGCAUCAGCUUUGGUUUCAUUCUAAAGGACCUCUUGACUAGAAAGAUGAUGAAUAACCACCUUGUGGACUUACUGUGGUGCGCUUUUUAUACAGGAAAAUGGGAACCCUUUUAAUUUAUUAAACCUGUUUAAACACAGCCAUUACACUGGAUAAUACAUGCAUAUGGCACACAAAUCAAAGACAAAGUGAAAGUAUAUAGUGAAGAGAAACUCUCACUGUCAUCCCUGUCUUCCAAGCACCCUCUUCCCAGAGGCAAUCAUAGUUGCUUUAUACAUGUUUCCUUCUGCACUUACCUUAGCAAGGAGGCAGAAACAAAUUAUAAUGAGAGUGCCCCCAAAUCACCUAAAGUCCUGCCUUCUAUUUAAGCAGUGGCCAGUGCUCCUGAAUCUAAUAAACUUGAAUGUAAUAAACUUAGAAUGUGUUAGAAGGUAGAUCUUAACAAUUCUGAAAAGUUUUUUGUUUUAUGAGAAAGGAAAUGAAUUUUGUUCCAGCUAAGCUUUUUAAUCACUCAUAUUAUUUUAGAAAAAUUACCAACCAGGUACAUGUGGGAAAAUUUGCAGGUUGGUUAUAUAUAUUGAAUUGGUAAAGCAGAAACUUAUAAAUUAAACAUCUUAUCAGUUAAUUCUUAAUUAUGAUUAUAUAUUUGUACAUUUGAUUGCAUCAUUAUACUUACAUGUGACUAAUUUUUAUAAGAUUAGUACCAUUCUUUUGAAUUUCUUGAGGCUAAAUCCUCUAUCUUCUCUUUUUCCCAACAAUUAUUAGUUGAUUUAACUUUAAAAAUGUGGACCAUCAGUGAGCAUUAGAUCCAAGAGAAUAGCAAUGAAAUAUGCCCUUUCAAACUGAAAUAUUAUAGAGGUUGAUAUUGAUUAAGUGUAUUGGAGCAUUGUAACUAAUCCCAUGUGUGUCAGGAGCAGAAAAUCUUUUUUUUUUUUUUCCUAUUGAAGUUACUUAAAUUUCUUUCACAUCAAACUUAACAGCAGUGAUUUAAAUCCCGUUUAUUAUUUGACUCAGCCAGUUAUGAAAUGGAACCCUAUCCCACUUGAGCCAUAAAAUGUGUUAAAUUUAAGACUAAUGCAGCUUUCUGCUUUUUGAAUUUACAUUUUGGCAAUAACUACCAUCUUUGUUCAGUGUUAGAAAAAAUUAUCUAGGCUUAACCAAAUAAGAAAACUGCCAAGUUCACAGACCAGUCAGUGAAAGAAGCCAGAAUUAAAUGAAAGUCUACAGAAUUAAAUGAAAGUCUAGAUACUGACUUUGCAGAAUAUGCUAAAGGGAGAUCUUACAGCAUUACAGUUUCUUUGAGAAUAAAAAUCUUCUACAGUAAUAGCUGUUCUUUGACGGUGAUUGAUGUGAGAAAUUCAGGCUGUGGGCCUUACCUCCCAGAAGCUACAAAACUGUAAUAAAGCCGAGUAGGAAUUGUGCAUCCUGCCUGACCUCUUCUUCAACUAGGCAGUGACUGGUAUAGUUUGAGCUUUGUCUUUUUUAUUUCAGACUUUUAAGAAACUUGUGGACUGUACUUUGUCUUUAAUGAUGUUUUAAGGGAAAAUUACACAUAAACACACAUAUGUAUACAGAAUAUUUUGAGUAAAUUUAAUUGAACUCUUUUUAAUGCAGAUUCAAAACAUCGUGUUGUAAAACUUUGUGGUAUUGGUUGUUAUGAGAGAUAGUAUGUCCAGCUGAUUGAUGCGUCUUAAAGAAAAUGGAAGUUUGGCAUCAGUUGGGUUAAUAAGUUAUAAUUCACCUCUUAUUAGGCUGAAAAAAAAAUCUCUGAGGAAUGAACUGAAAACAUUCUGGGGAGACAAGUGUCUGUGCCAUAAGGGUAACUAGGCAUAUUUUAGUCACUAAAUAUUCCUUGGAUGGACAGAUGGAUAGAUGAAUGAAUGAGAAUAGGUGAAAUAUGACAAUUCUAAAAAAAAGAUAGAAAAAAUUAAAAAAGAAAUCAGACUUGAUGAUUCUAAAACAUAAAAAGGAAAAAAGAGAAGAGGUGAAAUGUUUGUUGUGAUAGUUGUUAUAAUAGUAGCUAACAUUUACUGAGGACUUACUAGUAAUUGUGUGCUAGGUAGUUUGAGUGGGAUUAUUUUUUAAUCUUUGCAACAGUGCUUGAGAUUGGUACUGUCUUUAUAGGAGGAAGGUAUGGGUAGGGUAGAUAAGGUAACCUGCCUAAGGCCGCAGGGCUGGCACUCAAACUUUGUUUUGGAUUCUGGUUCCCAGCCCCUCAACCACUCUGCUGUAGGAUUUUUCUGUUUGUGUAGACUACAGGGUUGGGGAGUUAGUCACAUUGGUGUGUACAUUCAUAAGAAUUCAUGUUUAAGCUUUUACUAAAAUUUUUUUCUUUUACUCAAACAUUACAUUUUUGCAAAGAAAUAAAGAUUUCUAGAAUAACUGUGUACUAGACAACAAGUAGAAGACAGCAGUGAGAGGUUUGAAUGUUGGGGUUUCAUCUGGGCUUACUCACUGAAUAAAUAAAUCACUGUCUUACAGAAGUUGUGAUUCAAAGUGGGCCCUGCUGCUGAAAAAAGUUUGUUUUUACCAUUCUUAAAAAUACGAUGUUCAGAAUAGAAUUAGAGCUAAGGGAGUCGUGAUCUGACCUCAGUGGAGGAGUAUGCCUGUCAUCUCCUGUAGAAGCAGCAAGGAGUGGCAGAGAAAACUAUUCAUUUCUUGCUCUUCUCAACUACUGCCACAGUCUUAUGCCACUGGGCUUACAGUUACAUAAGUGCUUGGUAGCUACACAGUUUGGAGCUCAUGUCUAUUGUGGUCACGUAUUUUGAGAGACUUCGUGACAUAAAUUAAGAAGUGUUUGCUUCUGUAGUCUAAAUGCUCAGUUUUGGGAGUUGGGAAAUAACUGUUUACGUGCUUAAUGUUACUGAUUCUGUAAACCAGUGCUAUUCAAAGUAUGAGGUAUGGUUUGGGAACACUGGUCUGCACAGUAUAAACACAGGGUUAAGAUAGAGUGUUUAGAAACUUUUAUUAUAGUAGUUUGACACUGCUGUGAUAUCCAAGUGAUAUCCCUGGGCUUUGUGUGUGUGUGUGUUUUAUUUUCAUCUUUCUAGUGAGUAAUUUUUAUUGUAUUUUACUAAAGUGUUGGUCUGUGAUAGAUUGGGGGAAAAUGGGUUCUUUACCACUGAUAACCUGAGAAGCAUUGCUGUAAACUAUUUUCAUGUCUAUUUUGGCUAAUGGCAUCUUCCUGUAACCAGAGUUGCCGAGACCAGCUCAGUCGGGGAGACCCUAACCCAGCGGCGCUAGAGGAAUUAAAGACACACACAGAGAAACAUGGAGUGUGGAGUGGGAAAUCAGGGGUCUCACAGCCUUCAGAGCUGAGAGUCUCCAACAGAGAUUUACCCACAUAUUUAUUGAUUGAUUUAUUUAUUUUUCUGAGACGGAGUCUCGCUCUGUUGCCCAGGCUGGAGUGCAGUGGCACCAUCUCGGCUCACUGCAAGCUCCGCCUCCCAGGUUCACACCAUUCUCCUGCCUCAGCCUCCCGAGUAGCUGGGACUGCAGGCGCCCAUCACCACGCCCGGCUAAUUUUUUGUAUGUUUAGUAGAGAUGGGGUUUCACCGUUUUAGCCAGGAUGGUCUCGAUCUCCUGACCUCGUGAUCUGCCCGCCGCGGCCUCCAAAAGUGCUGGGAUUACAGGCGUGAGCCAUGGCGCCCGGCCGCCACAUAUUUAUUGACAGCAAGCCAGUGAUAAGCAUUGUUUCUGUAGGUUAUAGAUUAACUGAAAGUAUUCCUUACGGGAAAUAAAGGGAUGGGCCUAAAUAAAGGGAUGGGUCUGGCUAGUUAUCUGCAGCAGAAGCUAGUUAAGACUUGAGCAUGUCCUUAAGAAGCAGGAACAUGUCCUUAAGGCACGGAUCGCUCAUGCUGUUGUUUGUGGUUUGAGAACACCUUUAAGCGGUUUUCUGCCCUGGGUGGUCCAGGUGUUCCUUGCUCUUAUUCCAGUAAACUGACUGCCUUCCAGUGUGGGUGUCAAGGCCAUCAGGAGCAUGUCACAGUGCUGCAGAGGUUUUGUUUAUUGCCAGUUUUGGGGCCACUUUAUGGCCGGAUUUUGGGGCCUGUUCCCAACAAGAGUAAUAAUUUAAUAAUUUAAUUGAACUGUAUUUAAAAUAGUAUUGUGAUCACUAAAUACCAUUACAUUAGAUUUACUUAACUUUUAAGUUAGUUUUAGUGGUAAAACAUUUUAAUAAUUCAGUGUUUUUUAAUACUGUGAAAUGUUUAAAAAGAUGAACAGGUUGUAACCUCGGCAUUCCGUAGCUCAGCUUUAUAAAGCAGGCUUAAAAAUGAUAGGUGGUAUGGUUCUAACAGUUUAAAAUUACUUCCGUCCCUAAUUAUUUUAGCAGGGCUUUUCAGCAGAUCCUUAUUGUGUCUGUUACAAAGAUGAUGGGAAACCUGCUUUUCCUGGUGAAGGUUUAUUGUAGUAAGUUUGAACAAAUUGUUCAAUUGUUGAAGCAUAAGUUAGGCUUCUCUUAAACGGCCUUUCUGCUUGUUGAAAACCAGGCCAGACGUUAGUUACCUCUUUAUGUUGAUGGUGUGUGUAUAUGUGCAUAUUUUCUGGCAAUUUGUAUAUAUGUGUGCAGUGAUAUUCACAGAGUUGAAGAGGAGUCAGGUUAACAAGAGAUGAGAAUUUAAAAUCAGCAGAUGCUUUGGCUUGUAGUGUGUGGGCUUCUUUUUCUCAUCCUUUCAAGUCUUAACUGCUUCAUUCAGCCCAUAUUUUACAAAUGUAAAGGAACCUGCUAAAAUCAAGAUAUAUUAUGUGUCCAUCAUUGUCAACUCAGUAGUACUGUCAGAAAAAAUGAAACGUUAGUUUGUUCUAUUUUGUGAAACUCCACAUAGCAAAUCAGUUACUGCUGUAUUUUAAAAAUCUUUUUCCUUAGUUUUUUUUGAUGCUUUUUGAAUUAAAAACAAACACAUGCUCCAUUCUAGUAUAACUAAAAUGCAGAUGUAUAAAGGAAGAAGUAUGUCCGUCCAUACCAUUCUUUUUUUUUUUUUUUUUUUGAGAUGGAGCCUCGCUGUGUCGCCCAGGCUGGAGUGCAAUAGUGCGAUCUCGGCUCAUUGCAACCUCCGCUUCCUGGGUUCAAGCGAUUCUCCUGCCUCAGCCUCCAGAGUAGCUGGGACUACUGUUGCACACCACCAGGCCUGGCUACUUUUUUGUAUGUUAGUAGAGAUGGGGUUUUACCAUGUUGCCCAGGCUGGUCUCGAACUCCUGAGCUCAGGCAAUCCGCCCAGUUGGGCCUCCCAAAGUGCUAGGAUUACAGGUAUGAGCCACCCGCACCUGGCCUCAUUGUUCUUCAUUCAAACACGUAACUGCAUGUAGGUAAUAAGUUUUUAUUACUAUUAAUUUUUUUUAAAAUUUUUUUAUUUUUUAUUUUUUUUGAGACAGAGUCUCACUCUGUUGCCCAGGCUGGAGUGCAGUGGUGGGAUCUCAGCUCACUGCAUCCUCCGCCUCCCAGGUUCAAGUGAUUCUCCUGCAUUCAGCCUCCCGAGUAGCUGGGGUUACAGGUGCCAGCCACCAUAUCUGGCCAAUAUUUUGUGUUUUUAGUAGAGAUGGGUUUCACCAUGUUGGCCAGAGUGGUCUCGAACUCCUGACCUCAGGUAAUCGGUCUGCCUCAGCCUCCCAGAGUGCUGGGAUUACAGGCACAAGCCACUGCGCCCAGCCCUAUUAAUUUUUAAAACUUUAUUUUUGGGUUAUGGGCUUUUUUGGGAAUUUGAAGAAUGACAAAGUCUUUUUUUUUUCUUCCCCAGGGAAAUGCCUUCAAGUACGUAGAUAGAAAAUAUUGCUGAUGAUUUUAAGAGUUUUCAUAGGGCUGAUGGCUUGUUCUUCAGUUCUCUGGUCAGGUAUCCUCUCAGAAGCCCUUCCUGGAUCCCCCUAAGGUAAGGCUGCUUCCCUGCCCCUCCUUGUUACAUUUCCCCUUUUCUUAGCAAUUUCCGCAAUCUGUAAUCACAUUAAUUUUCCUAAUUGUCAUUCUAGAAUAGUGGCUCCUAAAGUGUGAGGAUCUUGGACACCCUUUUAGAGAGUCUCCAAGGUCAAAACUUAUUUUCAUAAUAAUACAUAAUUUGCCAUUUUUACUCUCAUUCUUUCACGACUGUUUAAUGGAGGUUUCCAGAUGCUACAUGAUUAGUGUGAUAUCAUAAAGGAUUGACUGCAAGAACAGAUACGAUUAUCCAUCUGUUUUCUAUUAAACCAGAUAUUAAAAAGAUUUACAAAAAUGUAAAACUAUGUUUCUCCUCUCCUGGAUUAAAUUUUUUUUGAAAAUGUAGAUUUUUUACAAAAAUGUGAAACAUUGUCAUUCUAAUAUUCUGAUAAAAUUACCUUGUUUUAUAAAAUAUUUUUCAUUAAAACAUAGUUUAUAUUAGCAUGUAAUGCAUUUAUUUUUAAUUUUUUUCAAAGCUUGCAAUAGAGGUUAUUUUUAAGAGAAAUAAAUAUUUCAGACAUUUCUUGGUUUGAAUUUCUGAUAUGCAGAUAUCAAUGUAUAAGAUUUUUGGGGGUCCAUGAAAAUUUUAGGGAUUUUUAAAAUUUUUUAAGAGUUUGUUUUUUUUUUAAAUUUUAAAGGGCCUUGAAAUACAUGAAAUAUCUUUAGUCUUUGUUCUUGGUUUCUGUCACACUGUUCCCCAAACCUUUAGGAUUUCCUGAGUGAUAGGACUGUCUUUUAUUCAUAAUGCUUUUUCUUUGAUCACACCUGAGUUAAUGCUAAUGAGGUGAUUUAGGUCAGGCCCCUCAGGAUGGAGCAGGUCACCCAAAAGAGCAAGUGAUUAGAAGGUUGGAACCUUCAGCCCCACUGACCUCUGGGAAAGAGGGUAGGUGGGCUGGAGAUGAAGCUCCGUUAAGCUCUGUAAAAACUCUUGUGCAAGAUUUGAUGAGCUUUUGGGUUUCCAAACACUUGGAGGAGCUGGGAGGAUGCAGGCCCAGAGAAGCUCUGCCCCCUAACCUCCAAUACUUUCUCCUGUGCAUCUCUUCAUCUGGCUUUUCAUUUGUGUCCUUUGUCAUGUCCUUUAUAAUAAAGUGAUAAAUGUAAGUAAA